rnacentral:rRNA from 1 species
GUGCCAUGACGAGCCGCCGGACGUAAUAAGGGGAGGGCUAGCGUUGCUCGGAAUCACUGGGCGUAAAGCGCACGUAGGCGGCUUGUUAAGUCGGGGGUGAAAUCCUGGAGCUCAACUCCAGAACUGCCCUCGAUACUGACGAGCUCGAGUCCGGGAGAGGUGAGUGGAACUGCGAGUGUAGAGGUGAAAAUUCGUAGAUAUUCGCAAGAACACCAGUGGCGAAGGCGGCUCACUGGCCCGUACUGACGCGUGAGGUGCGAAAGCGUGGGAGCAAACAGG